CUCUGGUGUAGGGUAGAAAUUCCAUGUAGUUUGUAACUAUAUUAACACAGGUCAAUAAGCUUAUGACAUAGGAGCCAGCUAUAGUUAUACUGGUUAGUUGUUGAAGUACAAUUAUCUCCUUGCACCUAUCUUCGCUUAAGUGAUAAGUUAAACAAAAGGGGUAUCAAAUUAUAUUUACUCAGACUUAGUACUGGAUCAUUGAACUUCUGGACUCCCCAUUAGCUAAAUUGUAAGCUUCUUGAAGGACAGUGAUAAAGAAUCUUGAUUUUAGAGUUGGAAGGUAUAUUUUGAAGAAUGGGAGAAGUAAUGAAGAAUUAGAGAAAAGCUAAUCUUCAUUCUAUGGAUUUAGUUGGGAAUGACAUUCACAAGAGUGAGAACCAAAGAAGAAAAGAGGAAGAUGGUGAUGGGAGUAGAAGAGGAUUCAUCAUCUUCACUGAGUGACUAGAAAAGACGCUUACUUCUCUGGGUCACAGUUUAUUGCAUUAAAUGGAAAAGAAAAUGAAUCUUUUUAUAAUGUCAUUUACAACAGUAUUUAAUAUUUGAAAAAUCACAACUUCCUUUCUUUAGAUAACUCUAAAAUCCCUUCCAACUUUACAGUUCUAUGAAUUCAUCAGGAUAGUAAU
rnacentral:lncRNA from 1 species